rnacentral:rRNA from 1 species
UACGAAGGGGGCGAGCGUUGUUCGGAGUUACUGGGCGUAAAGGGCGCGUAGGCGGCGCUCCAAGUUAGGCGUGAAAGCCCCGGGCUCAACCUGGGAAUUGCGCUUAAGACUGGAGUGCUCGAGUGCGGAAGAGGUGAGUGGAAUUCCCAGUGUAGAGGUGAAAUUCGUAGAUAUCGGGAGGAACAUCAGUGGCGAAGGCGGCUACCUGGCCCAAUACUGACACUCAGGUGCGACAGCGUGGGGAGCAAACAGG